UGUUCAUUAAGCAGCACAUAGACUAAAUUGGAAAGACAUAGAGAAAAGAUUAGUCUGGUCCUGCACAAGGAUGACAUGUACAUUUUUUAAGCAUCCUAUGCUUUC